CUUGCCGUGUAGCGGUAGCUGGAUGGUGCGGUCUGGGCUGAUUAGCCGAUGGUUACAUGCAGGUGUCAAUGAGCAGAGCUUGCCAACACGAACACUUCCUUGGUGCUCUCUGGGCAGGCAGGAGCAGGACUCGGAUGCAGCGUUGUGCUAGAACAACCCAGCUCUGUUCAGGAUCGGGCUUCCCCCGUUGCUCUCGUACUCCCAGUAUAGUCCCUGCCCCCCAAAAGCAAAGAGAGCAGAGCUGGGCUAAAAGCAGCCAUCACAACAUUCACGCGCGGGGCGACCUUUGCUGCUUGCAGACCUAACGACCGUGGGCAGAAGCUAAGCCGCGCACGGGCCCGGGCAGACGUCUCUCUCCCAAGCCCGAGAGCCGUUGCAGCUGCAGUCCCAGGCUGCUGGUUCCUAGGAAGUGACCGCACCUUGGGCAACGAGAGCCAAGCCCUUGUCUUCCAGCUUCUGCUGAGAAAUGACGUCUUCCCCUGCAAAAAAUCCCGCCUCGAUAUCGUUGUUAACCAGUGCCCGGGAAUGAGCGUCCGUGCCAGAACGCAAUUGUGGGAAGAGACGCUUGCUCACGCAGCAAAGGAGGAAAAGAAAAACAAGGGACGGCAUCAGGGUGAGAGUCGGGGCACGUGGAGGCAGUAGCCUGAUCAGAGAGCCCUGCCAGCGGGGCCCAGCACCCUGGAUCCAGAGCCAAGGCGUCUCACCCCUCCCUGCUGCAGGGGCAAGGAUGUCGUGCCUGUGCAUCUCCCAUCAGGGGCCCAGGGCUCAUCAAGCCAGGAUGGGACGAGUUGGGUUACUGGUAUCGGACAGGCGGUAUGGACAACACACUCGCUCUGAGCACAGCACAUCAGUAGAUUCCCAAGGCCCCCUUAUUUAUCCACUAAAUAAAAAUCACUUCACACUUCCUUGAACCUUUCAGAUAUUUAUUUUAAAAUUCAAACCAUACAGCCACGGAAAUGGGAAGGAGAUGCACUCCGUUCACAUUCGACACAAACCAGAGACCAUAUGAGGACCAAAAGCAGAAGAGUCUAAUAUCUCAAGCCUAACUUUGAAGUGACAGUCCAGAGAUAAACCCUUUUCCUUUGCAAAAGAUA